AAUACCACCCUUUAAUGUUUGAUGUUCUAACGUGGACCCGUGAUCCGGGUUGCGGACAGUGUCUGGUGGGUAGUUUGACUGGGGCGGUCUCCUCCUAAAGAGUAACGGAGGAGCACGAAGGUUGGCUAAUCCUGGUCGGACAUCAGGAGGUUAGUGCAAUGGCAUAAGCCAGCUUGACUGCGAGCGUGACGGCGCGAGCAGGUGCGAAAGCAGGUCAUAGUGAUCCGGUGGUUCUGAAUGGAAGGGCCAUCGCUCAACGGAUAAAAGGUACUCCGGGGAUAACAGGCUGAUACCGCCCAAGAGUUCAUAUCGACGGCGGUGUUUGGCACCUCGAUGUCGGCUCAUCACAUCCUGGGGCUGAAGUAGGUCCCAAGGGUAUGGCUGUUCGCCAUUUAAAGUGGUACGCGAGCUGGGUUUAGAACGUCGUGAGACAGUUCGGUCCCUAUCUGCCGUGGGCGCUGGAGAACUGAGGGGGGCUGCUCCUAGUACGAGAGGACCGGAGUGGACGCAUCACUGGUGUUCGGGUUGUCAUGCCAAUGGCACUGCCCGGUAGCUAAAUGCGGAAGAGA
rnacentral:rRNA from 1 species